GCCGAAGUGGCGGAAUUGGCAGACGCAGCAGACUCAAAAUCUGCCGCUGUGUGAGCAGCGUGCCGGUUCGACCCCGGCCUUCGGCACCA
rnacentral:tRNA from 5 species